rnacentral:rRNA from 1 species
AUACGUAGGGAGCGAGCGUUGUCCGGAAUUACUGGGCGUAAAGGGCGCGUAGGCGGCGCUUCAAGUCGUCUGUCAAAUGGGAGGGCUUAACCCUUUUUCGCAGACGAAACUGGAGAGCUUGAGAAGCAGAGAGGCAAACAGAAUUCCUGGUGUAGCGGUGAAAUGCGUAGAUAUCAGGAAGAAUACCAGUGGCGAGGGCGGUUUGCUGGCUGCAUACUGACGCUGAAGCGCGAAAGCCAGGGGAGCAAACGGGAUUAGAUACCCCGGUAGUCCUGGCAGUAAACGAUGUAUGCUGGGUGUGAGACUAGCGAUAGUUUCGUGCCGAAGUUAACACAUUAAGCACUCCGCCUGGGGAGUACGGCCGCAAGGCUGAAACUCAAAGGAAUUGACGGGG